UACGGAGGGUGCGAGCGUUGUCCGGAAUCAUUGGGCGUAAAGGGCGCGUAGGUGGCCCGGUCAGUCAGUGGUGAAAGCGCGGGGCUCAACUCCGCGUCGGCCAUUGAUACUGCUGGGCUGGAGCACUGUAGAGGCAGGCGGAAUUCCGGGUGUAGCGGUGGAAUGCGUAGAGAUCCGGAAGAACACCGGUGGCGAAGGCGGCCUGCUGGGCAGUGGCUGACACUGAGGCGCGACAGCGUGGUGAGCAAACAGG
rnacentral:rRNA from 1 species